rfam:Oryza barthii chromosome 2, whole genome shotgun sequence.
AAAAAGACAAACCCUGAGUUUUCGUGUCCAACUUUGACUGUCCGUCUUAUAUGAAAUUUUUUUAUAAUUCGUAUUUUCAUUGUUGUUAAAUGAUAAAACAUGAUUAAUAUUUUAUGCGUGACUUGUCUUUUUUACUUUUUUUUUCAUAAUUUUUUCAAAUAAGACGGACGGUCAAACGUUGGGUACGGAAAUCAGGGUUUGUCUUUUU